rnacentral:lncRNA from 1 species
UCCUUUCUUCUCUUUGGAGAGCACUCCCGGAAAACACACACACACCUCACUUUGGAUUGGGAGAGGGAAAAACUCAUUGAUCCCUCAUUCUCGGACCAUCACGCACCCGGAAAACAACUUAUUGGAUAUCAGAGGGAGAAGAAAUGACUUCUCAUGACAUGAACCAAGGUAACUAGUUGAAUUUUUAUUAUUAAAUACAUGCUUAAAUGUUAACAUGUGAUCCUCUGCUAUUUAAAUUAUCUUCAUCUUUGUUAUGUCAUAUGUGAUGCAUCCCUUGUCUAGGUGGUAGACGAUGUUGGUUAAGUGUGGUGAGAGAUUAUUAAGGUAAAAAAGUUACAAAUAAGGCUCCAACUUUUUUAGACUUUUCUUCUCUCUUUAUUAUACCUAAUCCCACUGCAACCUUAUUUGUCAACUCCAAUAUUUAAAGAAGAAAAAAUAAAAUUCGUCUCACUAAUCGGGUCUCUAUGAAAAAUCGCAAGGUUACUUGAUUCAAAAGAAAAAGGGAAAAUAAGAAAACAAAGUAUUAAUAUUAAUAUUAUUAUAGAGAAAUGAAAAAGAAUAAUUAAAAAUUGAACAACAAAGAAGCCCUUAUCACACCAGGCAUAUUCAUCGAAAAUAUGUACAAACUAGAAAAGGAUUCUCCAGGAAUCGGUUUUUCAAGAUUGAAUGACUAAUCGUCUGGUGCAGACAGAGCAGAAGAACUUCCUCUUGGUUCUGAAGAAGAAGGGCAAAAAGCAGAACCUCCACGCGCUCUCCACGUCCAUGGCCUGGAUCAUCCCUCCGCAGU